rnacentral:lncRNA from 1 species
UUCGACAAAAAUUAAAUAUUAAAUAUUAAAUAAAUAAAUUUUAUUUUUUAUUUUUUAAAUUUAUUAAAAAAUAUGAUUUAAAAAAAUAUUUCAUUAAUUAUUUGGAUAUACAAUUUAUAUGAAAAUUAUACGUUUAUCAAUUAAAAUUUCGGCAUAAAAAAUUCAACCACUUAAAUUUUUUUCUAGAUUUAUGCUACUGAUAUAAAUAAUUAUAAUUCUUAAAAAUAUAAAAAUAAAUAGCUAUAAAAUAAAGUAGAUUAAGUAAAAAAAUAAUAACAAACUAAUUAUACACC